AUACGUAGGGUGCAAGCGUUAAUCGGAAUUACUGGGCGUAAAGCGUGCGCAGGCGUGAUGUAAGACAGAUGUGAAAUCCCCGGGCUCAACCUGGGAACUGCAUUAGUGACUGCAUCGCUGGAGUGCGGCAGAGGGGGAUGGAAUUCCGCGUGUAGCAGUGAAAUGCGUAGAUAUGCGGAGGAACAUCGAUGGCGAAGGCAAUCCCCCUGGGCCUGCACUGACGCUCAUGCACGAAAGCGUGGGGAGC
rnacentral:rRNA from 1 species